rnacentral:rRNA from 1 species
UAGGGAAUCUUCGGCAAUGGACGGAAGUCUGACCGAGCAACGCCGCGUGAGUGAAGAAGGUUUUNCNGAUCGUAAAGCUCUGUUGUAAGAGAAGAACGAGUGUGAGAGUGGAAAGUUCACACUGUGACGGUAUCUUACCAGAAAGGGACGGCUAACUACGUGCCAGCAGCCGCGGUAAUACGUAGGUCCCGAGCGUUGUCCGGAUUUAUUGGGCGUAAAGCGAGCGCAGGCGGUUAGAAAAGUCUGAAGUGAAAGGCAGUGGCUCAACCAUUGUAGGCUUUGGAAACUGUUUAACUUGAGUGCAGAAGGGGAGAGUGGAAUUCCAUGUGUAGCGGUGAAAUGCGUAGAUAUAUGGAGGAACACCGGUGGCGAAAGCGGCUCUCUGGUCUGUAACUGACGCUGAGGCUCGAAAGCGUGGGGAGCGAACAGGAUUAGAUACCCUGGUAGUCCACGCCGUAAACGAUGAGUGCUAGGUGUUGGGUCCUUUCCGGGGCUCAGUGCCGCAGCUAACGCAUUAAGCACUCCGCCUGGGGAGUACGACCGCAAGGUUG